GAUGAACGCUGGCGGCGUGCCUAAUACAUGCAAGUCGAGCGAACGGACGAGAAGCUUGCUUCUCUGAUGUUAGCGGCGGACGGGUGAGUAACACGUGGAUAACCUACCUAUAAGACUGGGAUAACUUCGGGAAACCGGAGCUAAUACCGGAUAAUAUUUUGAACCGCAUGGUUCAAAAGUGAAAGACGGUCUUGCUGUCACUUAUAGAUGGAUCCGCGCUGCAUUAGCUAGUUGGUAAGGUAACGGCUUACCAAGGCAACGUUGCAUAGCCGACCUGAGAGGGUGAUCGGCCACACUGGAACUGAGACACGGUCCAGACUCCUACGGGAGGCAGCAGUAGGGAAUCUUCCGCAAUGGGCGAAAGCCUGACGGAGCAACGCCGCGUGAGUGAUGAAGGUCUUCGGAUCGUAAAACUCUGUUAUUAGGGAAGAACAUAUGUGUAAGUAACUGUGCACAUCUUGACGGUACCUAAUCAGAAAGCCACGGCUAACUACGUG
rnacentral:rRNA from 1 species